rnacentral:tRNA from 1 species
GAUGAUAUAGUUUAAUGUGGUAGAACGGUCGUAUGAUAAACGAUAUGUAUGGGUUCGAUCCCUGUUGUUGUCA